AGAAAAAUAAGCUAAAUUAAGCUU
rnacentral:tRNA from 1 species